AGUGAACGCUGGCGGUAGGCCUAACACAUGCAAGUCGAACGGCAGCACAGUAAGAGCUUGCUCUUACGGGUGGCGAGUGGCGGACGGGUGAGGAAUACAUCGGAAUCUACUUUUUCGUGGGGGAUAACGUAGGGAAACUUACGCUAAUACCGCAUACGCCCUACGGGUGAAAGCAGGGGAUCUUCGGACCUUGCGCGAUUGGAUGAGCCGAUGUCGGAUUAGCUAGUUGGCGGGGUAAAGGCCCACCAAGGCGACGAUCCGUAGCUGGUCUGAGAGGAUGAUCAGCCACACUGGAACUGAGACACGGUCCAGACUCCUACGGGAGGCAGCAGUGGGGAAUAUUGGACAAUGGGCGCAAGCCUGAUCCAGCCAUACCGCGUGGGUGAAGAAGGCCUUCGGGUUGUAAAGCCCUUUUGUUGGGAAAGAAAAGCAGCAGGUUAAUACCCCGCUGUUCUGACGGUACCCAAAGAAUAAGCACCGGCUAACUUCGUG
rnacentral:rRNA from 1 species